GACGAACGCUGGCGGCGUGCUUAACACAUGCAAGUCGAACGGAAAGGCCCUGCUUUUGUGGGGUGCUCGAGUGGCGAACGGGUGAGUAACACGUGAAUAACCUGCCCUUGACUUUGGGAUAACUUCAGGAAACUGGGGCUAAUACCGGAUAGGAGCUCCUGCUGCAUGGUGGGGGUUGGAAAGUUUCGGCGGUUGGGGAUGGACUCGCGGCUUAUCAGCUUGUUGGUGGGGUAGUGGCUUACCAAGGCUUUGACGGGUAGCCGGCCUGAGAGGGUGACCGGCCACAUUGGGACUGAGAUACGGCCCAGACUCCUACGGGAGGCAGCAGUGGGGAAUAUUGCACAAUGGGCGGAAGUCUGAUGCAGCAACGCCGCGUGCGGGAUGACGGCCUUCGGGUUGUAAACCGCUUUCGCCUGUGACGAAGCGUGAGUGACGGUAAUGGGUAAAGAAGCACCGGCUAACUACGUG
rnacentral:rRNA from 1 species